rnacentral:rRNA from 1 species
GUAGGUGGCAAGCGUUGUCCGGAAUUAUUGGGGCGUAAAGCGCGCGCAGGCGGUUCUUUAAGUCUGAUGUGAAAGCCCCACGGGCUCAACCGGUGGAGGGUCAUUGGAAACUGGAGAACUUGAGUACAGAAGAGGAAAGCGGAAUUCCACGUGUAGCGGUGAAAUGCGUAGAGAUGUGGAGGAACACCAGUGGCGAAGGCGGCUUUCUGGUCUGUAACUGACGCUGAGGCGCGAAAGCGUGGGGAGCAAACAGGAUUAGAUACCCUGGUAGUCCACGCCGUAAACGAUGAGUGCUAAGUGUUAGGGGGUUUCCGCCCCUUAGUGCUGCAGCUAACGCAUUAAGCACUCCGCCUGGGGAGUACGGCCGCAAAGGCUGA